ACUUCCGUAGAAGUGAAAAUAUUCACCCCAGUUUCAUCCGGCCAACGUAAAUCAACGCAAAAUAUAUUACGGAAGAAUGUUUUGAACUGUUUUGAUUGAGUAUAGACAACCGAAUAUGGUUGUUUAAUGUAAUAACUGUCAUGUAUGAUUAGUUUUUAACGCUUUAAAGUCCAAACAAUGCCAAUUUCGGAGAUAGACUGAGUUCUGUCAAAAUGACCCUGCGAAAACUGAUCAAACGUGAUUGCAACAUUUCAUAUUCAAGAAUUAUAUACAGUCAGUAACUUGAGUGGUCCAAAAUGGAUUCACAGUUGAAGACGUUCAUCUGUACAAGAAGUCAUCUUCUACAUGUUCAUGUCAAUGAUGUUUGCUAAGAGAUUUGAUUGCAUUAUGAUUGUUUGUGAAAGUUGUUAAAUUUUGAUAAAGUGGCCUAUGCCCUUCUUGCCCAUGAAGUAUCCGGAAUAUAGAAUUACUAUGGAGGCAGCAUUGCCUUCAUCUGUGCAUAGUUGGCUCAAAUAUGAGCUGGAACAACUUGGAAUUGAUUCUCUUGUCUACACACGUUACAUCAUCAGCUUACUUCUUCAGGAUCCUGAAGAUUUAGAAGGUCUUGACACUGAUUUAGAUGCUUUUCCUAAAUCUAAGAGAAAAGGUCGGAAAUCAGAAAAGCAAAAACAUUUGUCUGCAAGUGACGAGGAGAGAAAAAAGUUUGCAGCUAUCCAAUGUCUUUCAGAUAUAACUGAAGAGGUAAAAAACAUGUGUAAUGGUGGUACUU